UACGGGGGGGGGCAAGCGUUUGUUCGGAAUUACCGGGCGUAAAGGGCGCGUAGGCGGCCCUCUAAGUCAGACGUGAAAUCCCACGGCUUAACCGUGGAACUGCGUCUGAUACUGGAGGGCUUGAAUCCGGGAGAGGGAUGUGGAAUUCCAGGUGUAGCGGUGAAAUGCGUAGAUAUCUGGAGGAACACCGGUGGCGAAGGCGGCAUCCUGGACCGGUAUUGACGCUGAGGCGCGAAAGCUAGGGGAGCAAACGGG
rnacentral:rRNA from 1 species